CUCCAUAGAUGCGUGUCUAUGCUGAUGAGUCGGAAACGACGAAAGCGAAC
rnacentral:hammerhead_ribozyme from 21 species